rnacentral:rRNA from 1 species
ACGAGUGGCGGACGGGUGAGUAACACGUGGGUAACCUGCCCUUAAGUGGGGGAUAACAUUUGGAAACAGAUGCUAAUACCGCAUAGAUCCAAGAACCGCAUGGUUCUUGGCUGAAAGAUGGCGUAAGCUAUCGCUUUUGGAUGGACCCGCGGCGUAUUAGCUAGUUGGUGAGGUAAUGGCUCACCAAGGCGAUGAUACGUAGCCGAACUGAGAGGUUGAUCGGCCACAUUGGGACUGAGACACGGCCCAAACUCCUACGGGAGGCAGCAGUAGGGAAUCUUCCACAAUGGACGCAAGUCUGAUGGAGCAACGCCGCGUGAGUGAAGAAGGCUUUCGGGUCGUAAAACUCUGUUGUUGGAGAAGAAUGGUCGGCAGAGUAACUGUUGUCGGCGUGACGGUAUCCAACCAGAAAGCCACGGCUAACUACGUGCCAGCAGCCGCGGUAAUACGUAGGUGGCAAGCGUUAUCCGGAUUUAUUGGGCGUAAAGCGAGCGCAGGCGGUUUUUUAAGUCUGAUGUGAAAGCCCUCGGCUUAACCGAGGAAGCGCAUCGGAAACUGGGAAACUUGAGUGCAGAAGAGGACAGUGGAACUCCAUGUGUAGCGGUGAAAUGCGUAGAUMUAUGGAAGAACACCAGUGGCGAAGGCGGCUGUCUGGUCUGUAACUGACGCUGAGGCUCGAAAGCAUGGGUAGCGAACAGGAUUAGAUACCCUGGUAGUCCAUGCCGUAAACGAUGAAUGCUAGGUGUUGGAGGGUUUCCGCCCUUCAGUGCCGCAGCUAACGCAUUAAGCAUUCCGCCUGGGGAGUACGACCGCAAGGUUGAAACUCAAAGGGAAUUGACGGGGGCCCGCACAAGCGGUGGAGCAUGUGGUUUAAUUCGAAGCAACGCGAAGAACCUUACCAGGUCUUGACAUCUUUUGAUCACCUGAGAGAUCAGGUUUCCCCUUCGGGGGCAAAAUGACAGGUGGUGCAUGGUUGUCGUCAGCUCGUGUCGUGAGAUGUUGGGUUAAGUCCCGCAACGAGCGCAACCCUUAUGACUAGUUGCCAGCAUUUAGUUGGGCACUCUAGUAAGACUGCCGGUGACAAACCGGAGGAAGGUGGGGAUGACGUCAAAUCAUCAUGCCCCUUAUGACCUGGGCUACACACGUGCUACAAUGGAUGGUACAACGAGUUGCGAGACCGCGAGGUCAAGCUAAUCUCUUAAAGCCAUUCUCAGUUCGGACUGUAGGCUGCAACUCGCCUACACGAAGUCGGAAUCGCUAGUAAUCGCGGAUCAGCACGCCGCGGUGAAUACGUUCCCGGGCCUUGUACACACCGCCCGUCACACCAUGAGAGUUUGUAACACCCGAAGCCGGUGGCGUAACCCUUUUAGGGAGCGAGCCGUCUAAGGUGGGAC